rnacentral:sRNA from 1 species
AUGAGUGUGUGUGUGAUAAAAGGAAGGGACAGGGAGAGACAACUCAAAGUUGCGACUACUGCAGACGCGGGUUAUUUCACUGACCAAUGAUUGGCUCGUGUCCACAUUGAGACAUGUAAAUAAUGCGAUUACGUCCCCUGGCAGUGUUCAGUGUUCAGCUAUUUCCACUUUUGCUUUAUUGAAAGACGAGUUCAUGUGUCAGGCAUUCUUUGGAAUUCUUCAUUGGAUUUUAUACAAUACAUUCUUUUUUAAUUUUUUUUAAAAGGUUUGGUCAGCUCAAGGAUAUGUUUUCUUAAACCACAGCAGAGGAUAACAACAUCUUUGUACGUAGUACUCUGAAUGGUUUGCUCAGGCGAAUGGACUCAGAAAUGAAAUGUGUUUACUGAAUACCGCUGCAAGGUAAGCCAAGACAUUAUUUUUACGGAAUUGGAAGAAAUAGAAAUAUGUUCUUGUCAUCAGGACAUGCGCAUUGCAAAAUUAGAAUGUUCAAAAAUUUUAAGCAUAUUGGCAAACCUUCUAAAUGCCCUAUCUUGCACUGCAGGUAAUAAUUCUAAGUAUUUUUUUGGUCAGUAUUGUAUACAGGCUGAAAGAGUCAAAGGAACGUUAGUAUUACAACUCUUUAUUCUAAGUCAUAAUUUUUUUUUCACUUUCCAAAAGAUACAUUGCAUAA